GGAAGAAACAUAUGAGAGAGAGUUGAUAAGAUGCUGAGUCAUGGAAGACACGGCUCGUCGCCGAUCUGUCCUUUUUUUUUUAAAUAUUAUUUCAUUUCAUCUGAGCCACAACGACAUCGGAAGUCUCUUCCUUGUUCAGCGGUUCCCUAAAGUUAACCCACCAUCGUUAACCAUCCUUGAACUGGUGUCGUUUCAAGACGGUGCUUGACAAGUUGACAUGGAACAAAGCGAGGUCGUUUUUGUAUUGCUUACCUUUGUCUCUUGAUUACCCUAAUGGGCCAGUAAUCCAUAUAUGGGGCUUUUAUUAUAGUCAACUUUAUAGACUUGGAUAGUUUAUUUAUUUAUUUUUAGCCUAAACUCUUAAAAAUGAUGAAAUAGAAUUCUGUAGUUCAAAUAACGACUCGAAGUUGAUAGGGAAAAAUUCAAUGAGAUGAUUAAUUAUUUUCUAACCUAUUUAAAAUAAAGUUGACUAAAAGGCAAAAAUGUGCAUAUUUAAAAGAUGACCUAUAUAAACAAUAUUUUUCGAGCCACAUAAAAGUUAUAGAAUAAUGCUCGUUGUUACCCUGUUAUUUUCUUAUUAUUUAGGAGAUUAACUAUUUUGUACAAAAAGUCAAUUCAUAGUUAUUUUCGCAAGUGGCAAGCUUUCUUAAUCAAAUAAUCAAUGAAUGAAAGCCUAUCUGCCCUUUCUUACGCCAUACAAUAUAAUUACAAAAGCAAGUUACAUAAACCAAGUUGACCUCACUUGACAAUGACGAUUUAUGAAAGAGCAGCUGUCUUAAAGACUUCCUAAUUUGACAGAAGAGGAUGUACGGAACAUAACAAGGACAUCAAAUCAUAUACAUUCAUAAAGUUUUAUUUAUUUAAGUUGACAUAAAGUUUUUAAGCAUUUAUCCAGAUGACAUAAGUUAUACAGAUGUCUUGAAGACAUUUGAUAUUUGGGGAAUAAAUGGUCAGAGACCACAGUUAUUGAGGCAUCCAUGUACUGUAUUCGACAAUACGCUGACGUUGAAAAACGGUAUACUUAAAGGAGGAGUAACUAAUGAACAAAAUAAUUGUGAGUGUGAAUGUGAGUAGGGUUGAGCAUACAUGUAUUCGGAUUGAUUCCCGGUAGGAUCCCAACGGAUUCGGAUCUCUCAUGUUCAUGUAAAUGAAUUUUAUACCUAUAUAGUACCGAUUGUACUUUGGUUCA